CCCUUAGACGUUCUGGGCCGCACGCGCGCUACACUGACGAAGGCAACGAGCUUUCCUUUACCGAAAGGUACGGGUAAUCUUUUGAAACUUCGUCGUGCUGGGGAUAGAUCCUUGCAAUUUUUGAUCUUAAACGAGGAAUGCCUAGUAAGCGCAAGUCAUCAACUUGCGUUGAUUACGUCCCUGCCCUUUGUACACACCGCCCGUCGCUACUGCCAACUGAGAUGGGUCCUGAAUUGUUAGGAACGCCCGUCAAGGGGCCUACCCGGUCCCUAGUGCGGUGACGAGAAUAACUGUAAAUGGCAUAUCUUGUAGGGAGUAAAAGUCGUAACA
rnacentral:rRNA from 1 species